AAUGAACGCUGGCGGCGCGCCUAAUACAUGCAAGUCGAGCGAGAAGACGUAGCAAUACGUUUGUAAAGCGGCGAACGGGUGAGGAAUACAUGGGUAACCUACCCUCGAGUGGGGAAUAACUAGCCGAAAGGUUAGCUAAUACCGCGUACGCUCCUUGGACUUCGGUUCAGGGAGGAAAGCGAUACCGUGGGUAUCGCGCUCUUGGUUGGGCUCAUGUCCUAUCAGCUUGUUGGUGAGGAACGGCUCACCAAGGCUUCGACGGGUAGCUGGUCUGAGAGGACGAUCAGCCACACUGGCACUGCGACACGGGCCAGACUCCUACGGGAGGCAGCAGUAAGGAAUAUUGCGCAAUGGGCG
rnacentral:rRNA from 1 species